rnacentral:rRNA from 1 species
GUGUCAGCCGCCGCGGUAAUACGUAGGUGGCAAGCGUUGUCCGGAUUUAUUGGGUUUAAAGGGUGCGUAGGCGGCUUUGUAAGUCAGUGGUGAAAUAUGUCAGCUUAACUGAGAGGGUGCCAUUGAUACUGCAGAGCUUGAGUACAGAUGAGGUAGGCGGAAUUGACGGUGUAGCGGUGAAAUGCUUAGAUAUCGUCAAGAACACCUAUAGCGAAGGCAGCUUACUAGGCUGUAACUGACGCUGAGGCACGAAAGUGUGGGGAUCAAACAGGAUUAGAAACCCCAGUAGUCC